rnacentral:rRNA from 1 species
GACGAACGCUGGCGGCGUGCCUAAUACAUGCAAGUUGAGCGCUGAAGGUUGGUACUUGUACCGACUGGAUGAGCAGCGAACGGGUGAGUAACGCGUGGGGAAUCUGCCUUUGAGCGGGGGACAACAUUUGGAAACGAAUGCUAAUACCGCAUAAAAACUUUAAACACAAGUUUUAAGUUUGAAAGAUGCAAUUGCAUCACUCAAAGAUGAUCCCGCGUUGUAUUAGCUAGUUGGUGAGGUAAAGGCUCACCAAGGCGAUGAUACAUAGCCGACCUGAGAGGGUGAUCGGCCACAUUGGGACUGAGACACGGCCCAAACUCCUACGGGAGGCAGCAGUAGGGAAUCUUCGGCAAUGGACGAAAGUCUGACCGAGCAACGCCGCGUGAGUGAAGAAGGUUUUCGGAUCGUAAAACUCUGUUGGUAGAGAAGAACGUUGGUGAGAGUGGAAAGCUCAUCAAGUGACGGUAACUACCCAGAAAGGGACGGCUGACUACGUG